UUCCGGUUGAUCCUGCCGGACCCGACUGCUAUCGGAUUGAGAUUUAGCCAUGCGAGUCGAACGUUCCCCUGUUGCGGGGAGCGUGGCGUACGGCUCAGUAACACGUAGUCAACCUGCCCUGGAGACAAGGACAACCCCGGGAAACUGGGAUUAAUCCUUGAUAGGUCAUCUCAUCUGGAAGGAGAGAUGGCUUAAAGGGGUACGCGGGCUUCUUCCGCGAAUUCGCUCCAGGAUGGGACUGCGUCCGAUCAGGCUGUUGGCGGGGUAAUGGCCCACCAAACCUGUAACCGGUACGGGCCUUGAGAGAGGUGGCCCGGAGAUGGACACUGAGAGAAGGGUCCAGGUCCUACGGGGCGCAGCAGGCGCGAAACCUUCGCAAUGCGCGAAAGCGUGACGAGGUUAAUCCGAGUGACUCCCGCUGAGGGGGUCUUUUGUCAGCUGUAAAUAGGCAGGCGAAUAAGGGGAGGGCAAGCCUGGUGUCAGCCGCCGCGGUAAUACCAGCUCCUCGAGUGGUCGGGGCGAUUAUUGGGCCUAAAGCAUCCGUAGCCGGUUCCGUAGGUCCUCUGUUAAAUCCAACCGCUCAACGGUUGACCUGCAGAGGAUACCGCGGGACUAGGAGGCGGGAGAGGCGGACGGUACUCCGCGUGUAGGGGUAAAAUCCUUUGAUCCGCGGAAGACCACCAGUGGCGAAGGCGGUCCGCCAGAACGCGCUCGACGGUGAGGGAUGAAAGCUGGGGGAGCGAACCGGAUUAGAUACCCGGGUAGUCCCAGCCGUAAACGAUGCUAGCUAGAUGAUUCAUUCGCAAGUCGCGAAUGAAGUGUCGCAGGGAAGCCGUUAAGCUAGCCGCCUGGGGAGUACGGUCGCAAGACUGAAACUUAAAGGAAUGGCGGGGGAGCA
rnacentral:rRNA from 1 species